rnacentral:rRNA from 1 species
GGCGGACGGGUGAGUAAUGUCUGGGAAACUGCCUGAUGGAGGGGGAUAACUACUGGAAACGGUGGCUAAUACCGCAUAACGUCGCAAGACCAAAGAGGGGGACCUUCGGGCCUCUUGCCAUCAGAUGUGCCCAGAUGGGAUUAGCUUGUUGGUGAGGUAACGGCUCACCAAGGCGACGAUCCCUAGCUGGUCUGAGAGGAUGACCAGCCACACUGGAACUGAGACACGGUCCAGACUCCUACGGGAGGCAGCAGUGGGGAAUAUUGCACAAUGGGCGCAAGCCUGAUGCAGCCAUGCCGCGUGUAUGAAGAAGGCCUUCGGGUUGUAAAGUACUUUCAGCGGGGAGGAAGGUGUUGUGGUUAAUAACCGCAGCAAUUGACGUUACCCGCAGAAGAAGCACCGGCUAACUCCGUGCCAGCAGCCGCGGUAAUACGGAGGGUGCAAGCGUUAAUCGGAAUUACUGGGCGUAAAGCGCACGCAGGCGGUCUGUCAAGUCGGAUGUGAAAUCCCCGGGCUCAACCUGGGAACUGCAUUCGAAACUGGCAGGCUUGAGUCUUGUAGAGGGGGGUAGAAUUCCAGGUGUAGCGGUGAAAUGCGUAGAGAUCUGGAGGAAUACCGGUGGCGAAGGCGGCCCCCUGGACAAAGACUGACGCUCAGGUGCGAAAGCGUGGGGAGCAAACAGGAUUAGAUACCCUGGUAGUCCACGCCGUAAACGAUGUCUACUUGGAGGUUGUGCCCUUGAGGCGUGGCUUCCGGAGCUAACGCGUUAAGUAGACCGCCUGGGGAGUACGGCCGCAAGGUUAAAACUCAAAUGAAUUGACGGGGGCCCGCACAAGCGGUGGAGCAUGUGGUUUAAUUCGAUGCAACGCGAAGAACCUUACCUGGUCUUGACAUCCACGGAAGAAUUCAGAGAUGGAUUUGUGCCUUCGGGAACCGUGAGACAGGUGCUGCAUGGCUGUCGUCAGCUCGUGUUGUGAAAUGUUGGGUUAAGUCCCGCAACGAGCGCAACCCUUAUCCUUUGUUGCCAGCGGUCCGGCCGGGAACUCAAAGGAGACUGCCAGUGAUAAACUGGAGGAAGGUGGGGAUGACGUCAAGUCAUCAUGGCCCUUACGACCAGGGCUACACACGUGCUACAAUGGCGCAUACAAAGAGAAGCGACCUCGCGAGAGCAAGCGGACCUCAUAAAGUGCGUCGUAGUCCGGAUUGGAGUCUGCAACUCGACUCCAUGAAGUCGGAAUCGCUAGUAAUCGUGGAUCAGAAUGCCACGGUGAAUACGUUCCCGGGCCUUGUACACACCGCCCGUCACACCAUGGGAGUGGGUUGCAAAAGAAGUAGGUAGCUUAACCUUCGGGAGGGCGCUUACCACUUUGUGAUUCAUGACUGGGGUGAAGUCGUAACAAGGUAACCGUAGGGGAACCUGCGGUUGGAUCACCUCCUUACCUUAAAGAAGC